AAGCAUGCUGGGUCUCAACCACAAAAUUUAAUUUUCCCUACUGCAGGGACUAAUCAACUACCACAGGCUUUAAGACCUGAGGAGACUGUUUUUAUCUUUUUUGUUUUCUUUCAAAGACUGAAGUGGAGUUAAUUUUACAGUUUUGACUAUCCUCAGGGUUACUAACAGUGACAGAAAUUUAGCUUGAUGAGAAACAGAUAAGAGAUGGAAUUUAUGCUUAUGCUAGGUCAUAAAUAAAGAUAAAAGGAGCUAGGUAAUUAACAGCACCUCUGUAAGUAGGGUUGGAAGACCCCACUUCCUCUUGAAUGAAGCAAAAAAGACCAAAGGAAAGCAAGGCAUGCUGAAUGGCGUCAGCAGUUACCUCCUUCAUUGGCUGAAAGUGGGUAAAUCUGAUUCCUGUGCACUUUCAGGGCCACAGGCUCAUGCAAGUGACCAGAAAAGGAAAUCAACAGAGGCUGCAAAACUGCUAACAUCAUAUUUUUUGGCACAGCAUUUUUAAAGAAGAAGAAUUUAUCACCUUUUUUACUGGGGUCUGAAGGGCCCAAAGAUAAUCUUCUUUCAAUAUGUAUUUUAUAUAGAUCCAUGAAGUGUUGUAUGUCUAUAUGAAACCCCGGCCAUUCCACAAUUAUUUUCAUUUGUAUUUAACUUUCAAGCACUUCAGUUCAACUGUAAGCAAACAAUCUAUCAUUUUUCAUGUAAUCAAAACAAAGUAACACUGUAGAACUUCACUGAACAAACAAAAUCCACUGCUCCCUGAGAUGAGGUUUUCUGCUCGCAUGUGUAUCAUAUGCAUUAAGAAGUUAUCCCAAUUUAAUCUAAUUUUUUUCACCUGACCUACUCAGAUAGUUAGAUUUUACUUACUAAUUUGUUGGCUCACAAUUUAUAAUUGACAGGACACUUCAGUUACACCCACAAAAAAGAAAAACCCACCACAUCCUUUAAAAAUAAAUAUAUGAAAUGUGAGACUCCCCUCUAUAAAAAUCUAGACUCCUCUGCCAUAUCACGCCAAUACUUCGGUGUUAGGAGUGUGACAUAAGCAAAGCCUUUCUCCUUCUAAGGACAAUAAUUAAACCACUUGCCCCAAUCAAUGUUGCAGUUCAGCUCCCACAAUGAGGGUACGUCUUCACUACCCACCAGAUCGGUGGGUAGCAAUCGAU